GGGCGUAAAGCGCGCGUAGGCGGCGUGAUAAGCCGGUUGUGAAAGCCCCGGGCUCAACCUGGGAACGGCAUCCGGAACUGUCGCGCUAGAGUGCAGGAGAGGAAGGUAGAAUUCCCGGUGUAGCGGUGAAAUGCGUAGAGAUCGGGAGGAAUACCAGUGGCGAAGGCGGCCUUCUGGACUGACACUGACGCUGAGGUGCGAAAGCGUGGGUAGCAAACAGGAUUAGAUACCCUGGUAGUCCACGCCGUAAACGAUGUCGACUAGCCGUUGGGCGCCUCGAGUGCUUAGUGGCGAAGUUAACGCGAUGAGUCGACCGCCUGGGGAGUACGGCCGCAAGGUUAAAACUCAAAUGAAUUGACGGGGGCCCGCACAAGCGGUGGAGCAUGUGGUUUAAUUCGAUGCAACGCGAAGAACCUUACCUACCCUUGACAUCCUCGGAAUCCGCCAGAGAUGGUGGAGUGCCUUCGGGAGCCGAGUGACAGGUGCUGCAUGGCUGUCGUCAGCUCGUGUUGUGAAAUGUUGGGUUAAGUCCCGUAACGAGCGCAACCCUUGUCCCUAUUUGCCAGCGAUUCGGUCGGGAACUCUAGGGAGACUGCCGGUGACAAACCGGAGGAAGGUGGGGACGACGUCAAGUCAUCAUGGCCCUUACGGGUAGGGCUACACACGUGCUACAAUGGCAGGUACAAAGGGUCGCAAGACGGCGACGUGGAGCUAAUCCCAGAAAGCCUGCCUCAGUCCGGAUCGGAGUCUGCAACUCGACUCCGUGAAGUCGGAAUCGCUAGUAAUCG
rnacentral:rRNA from 1 species